CCUACGGGUGGCAGCAGUGAGGAAUAUUGGUCAAUGGGCGCGAGCCUGAACCAGCCAAGUCGCGUGAAGGAUGACGGCCCUAUGGGUUGUAAACUUCUUUUAUAUGGGAAUAAAGUGAGGCACGUGUGCCUUUUUGUAUGUACCUUAUGAAUAAGGAUCGGCUAACUCCGUGCCAGCAGCCGCGGUAAUACGGAGGAUCCGAGCGUUAUCCGGAUUUAUUGGGUUUAAAGGGGGCGUAGGUGGGUAAUUAAGUCAGUGGUGAAAGUUUGCGGCUCAACCGUAAAAUUGCCGUUGAUACUGGUAGACUUGAGUACAUUUGAGGUAGGCGGAAUGCGUGGUGUAGCGGUGAAAUGCAUAGAUAUCACGAAGAACUCCGAUUGCGAAGGCAGCUUACUAAACUGUAACUGACACUGAUGCACGAAAGCGUGGGGAUCAAACAGGAUUAGAUACCCCAGUAGUC
rnacentral:rRNA from 1 species